UGGGGAAAAAGACCGGAAUUAGGGGGUGGGGGAGGGGCCGCGGUGGGCGUGGCCUCUCCCUGACCCCGCCCCUUCCCCUCCACUGCAGCCCCACGUGCCCGGCCCCGCCCAUCCCCCCCCCCAGGUGAUCACGCUGCUCCACGCCCCGCCCCCCGGGCAGGCCCCGCCCCCGGCGCUGCCGGCGCAGAGCCCCGCCCCCUUCGGCUUCAUCGGCCACGCCCCAGUCCAAUCCCAGCAGCUCCAGUUCCACCCCGGGACCUGAUUGACAGCGCAGGGGGCGGGGCCAACCCAAAUGGGGGUGGGGCCAACCCGAAUGGGGGCGGGGCCUCACUCCCCACCCCGCCCCUCCCCCACCCCUGUUUUGUAUUAAUUUAUAGCGGGGGGGGAGGGGCCGGGGUGGGGGAGGGGAAUUUGGGGCAGAAACGGCCGAAAAAAGGGAAAAAUAAAAAUAAAAUAAAAUUAAAAAAACGGAAUAAAAAUGAAAAAAAAAAACCCACAACGGAGGUGGAGUUUUUAUUGGGGGAGCACCUUGGCCACCACCCCGGUGCCGAUGGUGCGGGCGCCGUCGCGGAGGGUGAAGCGCUGGCCCUGCUCCAGCACCAUGGGCUGGCGCAGCAACAGCGUCAGGGCGGCGUCCUCGCCCGGCAUCACCAGCUCCUGAGAGAGAGAAAUGUGUGGGGCGAGACCCAGAGAUCCUGCCCAGCCCCACAGAUCCCUCCGAGCCCCACAGAUCCCCCCACAGACCCCACCUUGCCGGGGGGCAGCAGCACCCUGCAGGCGAUGUCCCAGGUGUGCGAGAACAUCACGGGCGCGUAGUGGGACACGAAGGGUUUGUGGCGCCCGCCCUCCUGCGGGGACAGCACGUACACCUGGGGGGGGAACGGGGAGGAAAGAGUUAACUCCCCACAGGCCUGUGGGGCUGCCCCACAUCCUGCCCCAUAUAGCCCAAAUCCUACCCAAAAUCUGUCAGAAAUCCUCACCCAAAUAACCCCAAUCCCACCCCAAAAUGGGUUAAAAAUCCUACCCCAAAUCCUGCCCCAAAUAACGCCCACCCUGUCCCAAAAUCCUGCCCUAAAAUCUGCUAUAAAUCCUGCCCCAAAAAACCCCAAACCUGCCCCAAAUCCUGCCCCA
rnacentral:lncRNA from 1 species